CCAAGGUCUCUCUCUCAAGCCCAUGUUUUGUCCGCUGGCCACACUGCAUCUCAUUUUUUCCCCUUCCAUUCAGCCACUUCUGCCAGAAGUCUCAGCCCUCGGAAAUCGCCCUCACCCCAAACUGUACUCCUGCCACCAGGUGCCCCAGUUUCCACUUAGGAUUUGCAGCCAGUCUGUCUGUCAGACUUGCCUUUCCUAGUUGAGAGUCUUCCUGGGCCUCAACUUCCAGAAGAGGGGUCCCAGGAGGAUAGCGUGGGGGGUUCCCAGGGGUCGAAAGGCCGCAGUCACCCUCCCAGUGACCCCUUCCGGAGCCCUUUCUCAGAGACGUGAGGGGCAGAGUCCCCGUGAUGAUCAGUCCCUUCCCCACCCCGGAGUUGGCAUCCACGGCCCCAGAGGAUUAGCAAAAUCGUCGUCGCCAAUCCUCUCACUCCCUUGGGCUUGAAUUUACCAGGUGGGCAGCCCAGCAAUCGACUAAUGAUAUUUAUUGAGUGCCUACCGCGUGCAGGGCACUGUGCUGAGCUCUCGGGAGAGAACAAAACGGUAGAGUUGAUAGGCAUUUCCCCUUUCCACAUGGAGAUUACAGACUUGGAGGGGAGGCGGAUCUUAAAAUACUUUACAGAUGGAUCGGGACAUAAUACUGUGUGGGGCUGGGGGCGGGGUGAAUAUCCGAGUUCUAUUUUCGAGCCCAUAUUCAGAUGACUCUUGAAGGCCUGUAGCUGGAGUCUGAGUCGGCCCCGGGGCCUCUGGAGGCAGCAGGGAAGUUCGUCUGCUGGCAGAGGUGGCACAUGCACCGCAAAGCCCGACCGGGAAGUGGGAAGGGCCCGGGCCUGAUAGAAGUUAAAGGCCGUGGGCAGGUUCCGCCCGCGGGGCAGUCGGGAAAGCCCGAGCCGUCCGACGUCCCCCUACACGCUCAGUGGCGAUCGGUCCUGCACCCCCAGGCCCUGGGAACGCUUUCCUCUAAGGUCCUCUGAUCUCUACUCCUGUUGCAUGAUGAGAAGAUAUUCGAUUGAAACCCGGCCGGACAGCAGCGGCACAAAGAGGCAUCAUGGCUGUUUGUGACAAGUUUCCGUAGUCUCCGAUGGGCCCCGCGAGCCAUGAUGGUCUACAAUGGGUGCCCGGUGUCCUGGAUGCUGAGAGAAUCCGUCACACUAGAUGCCAGGUCCUUGUGAGCCCUGUAUGGCAGCGUCACACGUGACCCACAUCACAAGUCCCCGGGGGGUUUGGGGGUCGGGGGUGUCUGGUCCCUGGUGGAUCAAGGGAUCAAACUGUACAGGGGAAGUCACUGAUUCGGCUAGUGAGUUGUUGGGUGGUCACGUACCUGUGUCGAUGGAUCUGAGUGUGCGUAUAUCGGGCGGUGGAUGACAUAUUAUGGCUGUGGUCUCGAGGUGGGAGUCUCAGACGCUCUUCUCCUCCCCACCCCAUUAUCUCUUUUAUCCCCCCUCCUUCCCCCUCUAGUCCCACCUCUCCCCCCGCUACUGGCUCCCUUUCCCUGCGAUCAGCUCUUUAGGGGUUUCCGAACAGCAAUUUCACCUUUUCUCCUGCUUAGGUCUAUUAGGUCUAUAUAGGUCUCAGUAUUCUGCUGGUAAUUCAGCUCAAAGCCACAUUCUCAGUCAAUAAAUACGAUCGGUUAGCUGAUUGAUAAUUCAGCUGGCAAUUCAGUUCCAACCAGUGUGCUUUGUACCCUGUAAUGUUGGGAUCAGAAUUCUUCCUGCCAGGAAUUUUGUCGAACCGGAAAGCAGGGGACCAAAGGGCCUUCUCUGCCUCUGGAAGGGUGACCAGGUGGGGUGAAAUGUGGCAUCGGCCCAGCCGGGGAGACCGUAGGGAGUUCCACGGCAGCAGUGCAGCCGGGUGGAAAGGGCACAGGCCUGGGAGUCGGCCUGGGUCUGCCAUUUGCCUGCUGUGCGAUCUUGGGCAAAUCGUUUAACUUCUCUGUGCCUCAGUUUCCUCCCCGUGAGACGCAGGGCUGUCCGACCUGAUGGUCUUCUAUCUCCCCCGGCGCAUACUCAGUGCUUGACAAAUAGUAAGCUCUGAGGAAGUACCACAGUUAUUCCUCCAAUGGUCAAGCACAUGCUUACUUGGGAAUACCCUCCCACUCAGACGGCUCCCAGAGCCCGCGGGUCAGCACUUCUCUGGAAGUUUCCUCAGAGCCUCUUCAUAAUUCCGAAUAUUGUGCGAGUCAGAAGCUCCGUUCCCCCUUAGGUCCCUGCCAUCUGGGCCGAAUCCAUUUCCAAAAUAAAUUGAAAAAUUCAUCAUUCCCCGGGCUUAGGGAACCGAAGCCCGCGGACGUUGAUGCGGGAUUCGGGGGGGAGAUGGCGUUUCCCUGCAUAUCUGAGGAAACGUGAAGGCCUUUGAAGAAAAUUGAAUCAGCAUAAUCGCCAGCGCCUGUGCUGACGCGGGUGAAAAAGUCCUGUGUGCACACACACGCUUUCCCUUAUGCAGCCCCUCGCCGUUCCCCGCUGAUUUCCAAAUUGCAUCACUGUCGUAAAUUAUCCAUGCCGGUGCCUGGCAGGGGAGGCGCUGAGAUCCAUAUUUUUUAGGGGGGAGGGGGGUUCUGCUUAAAUCAGCAAGAAUGAUGAAUUUGAUGGUGCGAAAUUGGACGCAGCCAGGGUUUUCCUCAGCGACUGAGCGGUAGAGAGUCCCCGCUCAUAAUUUAUGGAGGCCUCCCAUCCUCCUUCCCUCCCUCCUCGGCACGUCUAAUAUUUAUUGCCACACAAAUUAAAUUGCUCUUUUGUCUGUGUUGUCACCUGAAA